AUGAACGUUGGCGGCGUGCCUAAUACAUGCAAGUCGAGCGAACAGAUGAGGAGCUUGCUCCUCUGACGUUAGCGGCGGACGGGUGAGUAACACGUGGAUAACCUACCUAUAAGCCUGGGAUAACUUCGGGAAACCGGAGCUAAUACCGGAUAAUAUAUUGAACCGCAUGGUUCAAUAGUGAAAGACGGUUUUGCUGUCACUUAUAGAUGGAUCCGCGCCGCAUUAGCUAGUUGGUAAGGUAACGGCUUACCAAGGCAACGAUGCGUAGCCGACCUGAGAGGGUGAUCGGCCACACUGGAACUGAGACACGAUCCAGACUCCUACGGGAGGCAGCAGUAGGGAAUCUUCCGCAAAGGGCGAAAGCCUGACGGAGCAACGCCGCGUGAGUGAUGAAGGUCUUCGGAUCGUAAAACUCUGUUAUUAGGGAAGAACAAAUGUGUAAGUAACUAUGCACGUCUUGACGGUACCUAAUCAGAAAGCCACGGCUAACUACGUG
rnacentral:rRNA from 1 species